AUGCGACCCCAGGUCAGGCGGGACCACCCGCUGAGUUUAAGCAUAUCA
rnacentral:rRNA from 1 species